rnacentral:misc_RNA from 1 species
UUUCCGUAGGUGAACCUGCGGAAGGAUCAUUAUUGUAUAACCGAGGUGCGAGGGCUGUGGCUGACCCGAAAGGUCGUGCACGCCAGAGUGCCCUCACACACAUCCAUCUCACCCCUAUGUGCACCACCGCGUGGGUCCCCCUUUGGCUUGUUCGGAGGGGGGCUUACGUUUUCACACAAACUUUGUAUGCAGUGUAGAAUGUAUUUUUUGUUUUUGCGAUCACGCAAUCAAUACAACUUUCAACAACGGAUCUCUUGGCUCUC